AAAACCUAUAGCAAACAACUAAUACAAGCUCUAUCUAUAUCGACUUCAUCACCACCAUAACAAGAAGUAACAUCAUCUGUUUUUGCAUAUUUAACAUAUAUAAACUAUUUAUUCGUGUCAAUUUCCUGCGUAAGGAGAAAUUAACUAUAAAGUUGGAGUCUAAUUACAUAUCCUUUUGUGAAAAUCGUCAUGGACCCCCUUCUCAUAAUUUUGGCGUGCUACGCCAUCCUCCUGUUGUUCUUCGGCUUGUGGAGUUUUAGCUUAAUGGCGAGAGAUAAAAGGGCCGUAGAAAGUCGUAUGUGGCGAAUUUCUGAGUGUAAACUCCACACCCUGGAACUUUUCGGAGGAUGGUUUGGAAGUCUGAUGGCGCAGGUCUGUUACCGUCACAAGAAUAAGAAAUGUUCGUAUCAGAUAAUUUUUUGGAUUAUUGUCGCUGCUCACGUGGCUGGAAUGGGUGCCGUGUUUUUUGGAAGGGAUAAAAUCAGGGAUUUUUUCGGGAAAAGUGCACAGUGAUAAAUGGAAACAUCUGCUAAAAUUACUGAUGUUUUCACGCUUCAUAACGUAUAAUAAAUGAUUUUUCAAAAUUGAAUAAAUUCUAGUUUUUUGUAAUAAAGAACUUAUUAAUGCGA